rnacentral:rRNA from 1 species
GACGAACCGUGCGAACGUUGUUCGGAAUCACUGGGCAUAAAGGGCGCGUAGGCGGCUUAUCAAGUCAGGGGUGAAAUCCGGCAGCUCAACUGUCGAAGUGCCUUUGAUACUGAUGAGCUCGAGGGAGGUAGGGGUGUGUGGAACUUCCGGUGGAGCGGUGAAAUGCGUUGAUAUCGGAAGGAACGCCGGUGGCGAAAGCGACACACUGGAUCUCUUCUGACGCUGAGGCGCGAAAGCCAGGGGAGCAAACGGG